rnacentral:lncRNA from 1 species
GUCACAGGUCUGGAAAGAGUGGUGUGUAAUGGCAUGGCUGAGCCAGGCCACUUCCAAGAUUCGUUGUUCUUGCUUUGUGAAAGAAAUGAAUCAAAAUGAUCCUAACUGAACAAGACUUGCAUCUGCCAACCUGCUGCAUCCAGUGGCAACCACAGAUGAAGCAAAGGUCAUAAUUAGGUCCAUUCUCCCAGAUAAGAACCACUAUCCCAGAUGUAUGUGUCAUGCCUUUCCACUAGUGUGCCAAUGAAACUCUAGCAAGCAAGCACUGUUACUCUACUCCAUGGAUGAGAAGCUCCAGGCCAACCAAGACUGCUGAUUUACCCAAGGGCAUAUAGGUAGGGCAUGGUAAAUACAGAACUAAAACCAAAUAUC